rnacentral:rRNA from 1 species
UACGAAGGGGGCUAGCGUUGCUCGGAAUCACUGGGCGUAAAGCGCACGUAGGCGGCUUUUUAAGUCAGGGGUGAAAUCCUGGAGCUCAACUCCAGAACUGCCUUUGAUACUGAGAGCUUGAGUCCGGGAGAGGUGAGUGGAACUGCGAGUGUAGAGGUGAAAUUCGUAGAUAUUCGCAAGAACACCAGUGGCGAAGGCGGCUCACUGGCCCGGUACUGACGCUGAGGUGCGAAAGCGUGGGGAGCAAACAGGGAUUAAGAA